AGAGUUUGAUCCUGGCUCAGAACGAACGCUGGCGGCGUGCCUAACACAUGCAAGUCGAACGGAGUGAAGGAGCUUGCUCUUUCAUUUAGUGGCGCACGGGUGAGUAACGCGUAGAUAAUCUGCCUUGGACUCUGGGAUAACAUCUCGAAAGGGGUGCUAAUACCGGAUAAGCCCACGAUGGCGUAAGUCAUUGCGGGAAAAGGGGGCCUCUGAAUAUGCUCCUGAUUCAAGAUGAGUCUGCGUACCAUUAGCUAGUUGGUAGGGUAAGAGCCUACCAAGGCGACGAUGGUUAGCUGGUCUGAGAGGAUGAUCAGCCACACUGGAACUGAGACACGGUCCAGACUCCUACGGGAGGCAGCAGUGGGGAAUUUUGCGCAAUGGGGGAAACCCUGACGCAGCAACGCCGCGUGAGUGAUGAAGGCUUUCGGGUC
rnacentral:rRNA from 1 species